rnacentral:rRNA from 1 species
UACGGAGGGUGCAAGCGUUGUCCGGAUUUAUUGGGUUUAAAGGGUGCGUAGGCGGCCCGGUAAGUCAGUGGUGAAAGCCUCCAGCUCAACUGGAGAACUGCCAUUGAUACUGCCGGGCUUGAGUACAGACGAGGUUGGCGGAAUUGAUUGUGUAGCGGUGAAAUGCAUAGAUACAAUCAAGAACUCCGAUUGCGUAGGCAGCUAACUAGGCUGUAACUGACGCUGAGGCACGAAAGCGUGGG